GACGAACGCUGGCGGCGUGCCUAAUACAUGCAAGUCGAGCGAGACUCUUCGGAGUCUAGCGGCGGACGGGUGAGAAACACGUGGGCAACCUGCCUGUAAGACUGGGAUAACACCGGGAAACCGGUGCUAAUACCGGAUAAUCCUUUUUCUCUCAUGAGGAAAACCUGAAAGUCGGUUUCGGCUGACACUUACAGAUGGGCCCGCGGCGCAUUAGCUAGUUGGUGAGGUAAAGGCUCACCAAGGCGACGAUGCGUACCCGACCUGAGAGGGUGAGCGGCCACACUGGGACUGAGACACGGCCCAGACUCCUACGGGAGGCAGCAGUAGGGAAUCUUCCACAAUGGACGAAAGUCUGAUGGAGCAACGCCGCGUGAGCGAUGAAGGCCUUCGGGUCGUAAAGCUCUGUUGUUAGGGAAGAACAAGUACCGGAGUAACUGCCGGUACCUUGACGGUACCUAACCAGAAAGCCACGGCUAACUACGUGCCAGCCGCCGCGGUAA
rnacentral:rRNA from 1 species